CUGACGCAAAUCAACGCCCCUCUGCGCAGGCCCUGUCAAACGGCAGGAAUGCGCGACGGCGUCGAUUAGAGCGCCCGCUUCCGGAAGGCGGGACGGCUCCCAAUUACGGGCGAUGAUUGGAGAAGAUCCAGUUUGAUUGACUGCAUGCCCUCCGUCACGUGUGCGGGAGCUGUUGUCAUCACGUGGUGGGAAGGAAAAUAGUUCAGCAGAGGGGAGGGAGGGGCGGUCGCCAUAGCACCCGGAGGGGCUGCGAGCCUGGGCCCGACUCUGUGGAUCGGCACUGGUGUCAUCCUCAGCACCCCCUACAUAUCACUCCGACCUGCUCAACAUCAUAUCCACCUGCCCCAUGUGAUACCUGCCCCAAAACAGGCCAGCCUGCCCAGUGUCACAUCCAUCUAAGUCAUGUCAAUAUAAAAAAGACCUUGGGCUAUUGCAGAGGGUCCAAAGGAGGGCAAUGAGGACAGCGAACGGUCUGGAGAGCCUUAUAAGGAGCUACUGAGGACACUUCUUCUGUUCAUCCUGGAGAAGAGACCGAACAAGAAGAGUAGACCUCAUUGAGGUCUUCAGUAUCCUCAGGAGGAGAAGCGCAGGGCAACAUCCAUCCUGAACAGUGGAGACCAUGCCCACCUGGAACAGCACCAUCCCCACGUACGGUGCAGCUCUCGGAGCACCAGUCAUGUGCCUGUGCCCCACCAGGGCCAUCCAUCCCAACAGCACUCUGCAGCACCUACCUAGUGUAGAGGUGGUUGUACUGAAGACACCCAUCCCCAUGGCACUUGCAGGGACCAUCAGGGACUGAGUCAAAACACCUGUCCCUGCACUACUGGAAACACCAGUCCUGCCAUCCCUGCAGCGGCACUGGGAAUGCCCCUAAUGCAUGCCACAGUACUGGAAAUGCUUGUUCCCACUGGGCCAGGCAGCUCUGAAAGGGUUGAGUGUGCUUUACAGUACUGGAAAACCCCAUCCUCUGCUCUUCCUCUCCUCCAGUCCUCCUGUCCUCAGCACCAUGCAUCUCCCACACCAUGGAGACCAUUCUGCUGGAAGCCCAGUAAGCCUUUAUUCACCUGCAGUACUCCUCAGUUUGUAAUAUUCCAUGCUGUAGUGAGGUGUUUUAACAGCAUUGUCUUCAGCACUUAUUUUGGUCCAAGGUAUUCAAAAGUGAACUUGUUAAAGAUAAGAAGUAAAAUAAAAUCUAGAAUGGAAAAUCAAGUUUUCUGGGGUUUGAUGGCUAUCCUUGUGGCAUUAAGCCAUCUUCCAUCCUGCUCUUUCCUUUGCAGCUGCUCACCAUGGUCUGCUUUUCUCCAUAAUGCUUCCUAGUCGAAAUGGAGAUGCUAAACUUUUCUUCUGGAUGAUUCCUUGGUUUAUCACAUAGUAACACAUCUAUAUGGACUUAUUUUCCCAAAUUGUUUGAUUCAACAUGUAGGCAUCAAAUAAAUUUGGUACCUCAAGCUUAA